rnacentral:lncRNA from 1 species
CAUAAACCAAGAAACUGAAUGUAGCUUUGAAGAUAUCUCUAACAAUUAAGACAAAGGAUUAUAUACAUAAGCAUAAAACUUUUCUUUAAAUCGUCGUAUUCAGCACACUAACACACGCGCAAGAAAAAAAAACCUUUUUAAUGACAUUUGGGGAUUAUUUGAUCAUGAUAAAGAUGAUAUCCUAUUGUAUAAACAAUUUCAAGAAUCAGGGCAGUCUCACUUUGAAAGAUUUGUUUUAGAGUAGACCUUAGUUCAAGGGUUUCUGUUUUAAGUUUCCAGAUUUAUACGCCAUUAGACCAUUAUUUGGAAGCAAAGUAUGAGCCGAGACUACGAUCUUAUAUGUUUUUUUCCUUUUUUGUAAAACUGCAUCAAUCCUCAUUUUUACUAUUUGUUUUUUAACCAAGCUUUUAUUUUCUUUUUUUUUCUUUUUGUUUUGAAGAUUUUGGACAGUGUCAUCGUUUGAAUUUGUUUAAAUAAAAACAUGACAUACUUUGACGGAAAACAAUCUAUUCUAUUGUUACUAAACUUAUAUCGACAUUGAUAGAAAUAAGGCUUUCAGAGUUUGAAUUAGAUACGGAAUAAGGCUUUCAGAGUUUAAAUUAGAUACGGAAUAAGCCUUUCAGAGUUUAAUUUAGAUACAUUGGAAUUUUAUUGACAAACAAAAACACACGAUAGACAAAGAAACAAAAAAAUGACAACCGAAUAAGCAGGAUAAUGCCUAGUAGAAGUUCAGACAAAUUGUUAUAUACAAACGACAUGAUGCAGGAAUUUAUUGAAUAGGUGUACGAGAAAAAAGUUAUAUGACAUAUUUAAAGACAAUAUCCUCUAUUGUUUAUGCGCAUAUACAAGCGCAACAGUACUAUGUCGUCAGCGGUUUAUGACGUCGCGGUUUCCGCGAACUGGAAACGUUUAUUAGAGUUAUUCCUCUUUGAGCCGAUGGAGAGAGUGACAAUCGUUUUGAUAGGUUAAUUUGCCGAGAAAAAAAUGAAAAUUGUUUUUAUAUCAUAGACAUGUUCUAGAAUUGGAUAAAAUAUGAGAAUGAAAAGAGAGUCAACUAUAUAGCAAUCUAACAACAAAAAAUACACAAAAAUGACUGUAAAGAAACGAAACAGAAUCUGGAUACUCGACAACAAGAUGAGCCAAUCAAAUUAUAAUAUAAUACUUUUUUCUUUAAUUUUCUACACGUAUAGACUUUCGUAGGUUCUUAAUUAUAUCGAUAUUUUACAAAUCAUUAAGAAAGUACAAAAUCAUCAAUCAUUCUGGUCAUGUCCUCAAAAUUCAAUUUAUCUCUAGCAAAAGAUACAAUACGUACCUAUAUAUAUAUAUGGAUAUGGUAAAUUGCACUGACGUAUUUUCAAUGUGUACGGCACUUACAGUUUUACAUGAAUAUGAUAAUUAGAUUUCUGAUAAACACCAACAAAACAGUAACCUAACGACGCAUACAUGUAAAACAAAGUACACCUAGAGAAGUUAAAAUAUAAGCUUCUAACAUUGUAGGUUUUUUAUAUUACCAUUCCGAGUUUGUUCCGAUUUACCAAAUUUGAUAUUUAUGUAUAAGGUGCGCAAUUUUUGUAUAAAAAAAAACGUAAUCGUGUCUGUGUUAAAAAGUUGUCGGAAUGAAGAAUUACAGAGGAAUGCAUAUGAAAAAAAAAUCAAUUAAAAGGAGAUUUGAGAAAAGAGGUCGGACUAGGUUUUAUUCAUACUCACGGUAUGACAGCUGUAUGAGUAUACUUAGACUGAGUUUCUAGCAACAUUACAGAAUAUUUCGAUAUUCAUAGAUGCCUAAGGAUGAAUAAUCAAAACAGAAAUGAUAUUAAUUAGACCCCAUUAACACUUGCACGGAAUUGAAAUAAAAUCGAUCUCAGAAAUGAACGAUCUUUAUUGUUAGUAGAAACGGAGUCUUAGAUUUCUAAUGAUUUUAAGUAAUUAUCAUCAAAAUAAAAAAGGAACAACAUUUUUAAACGAAAUUAAAAUUCAUGAUAACCGAAGAAAAAUUCUGUCUUGUCUUUCAGAUAUACUUUGAUUGAACAAUGAUAUUAAAUAAAAAUGUCUUCACUAUUUUAAAAAGAAUUUCUGUUCAACACAUAAGCACUAUGAAUAACCUGAAAUGAAAUGUUCAUAGAAGCAUUCGUGUGUACAUAUGUACAACGCAUUGUUUUCCAACCACCGCAUUUAUAUUACGUGUCUGAUACUGACUGAAAACUAAGUACUAUCAUGUGUGGGUUGUCUCUAAUUUGUAAGAAUAUAGCCAAAACCGGUCGAACGUCUUUCGACGUUGUUUUUAGAAUUGGCGCAAUGUGUUCCCGCCAAUUCAAAAUUGUUAACCCCUUUUCAGAAAUAUCUCUUUUUCCAUUACGGUGACCCCAUAUUUUUAUUUCCUUAUUUUGUUUAGAUAUAAACAACGCAUAUUCUACUGAAGACUCAUGGAGAAAUUAU